GGGAUCUGUAGCAGUAGAGUAGCCUUGUUGCUACGAUCUGCUGAGGCUCAGCUCUUGUUCUACAGAUUUGUGCUUUUGCACUCUCUCCGGUUGUCAUGGAGUGGGGCAGGUUAUUGCUCCGCUUUGUGGCCAUCGUAGGCAGUGAACUUGCAUGGGACUGUGUGGACUUGCAUGGGACUGUGUGGACUUGCAUGUAUCUUCAGUUAUGAGGACUUGCACUUGACCAAAAUGGUCUGAUAUAGUUAUAUAAAUUAUAAAUUAUUGGUUUCUAGCUGAGACAGGUAUCUGGUCUCAGAGCCCUGAGUGUCUAACAUGUCAUCCGGAUGCGGGUGUGGCACUUGGACCAGUGACCGAGGGUGUUAAUAUUCGUUCGAACAGUCAAUCUGGCCUUCUUAAAUGUCUUGGUACAUGGACCGACGGACAGAGCAUGAAAAUAACAGAGUACGAGCUGGGUGAGGCCAGCCAGCCGGUCAGCUUAUAGGCUGCUAAAAUGCAUACUAGUAUCUACGGCCAUAGGACUGAGAAAAUACCGCAUCCCGUCCGAUCUGAA
rnacentral:misc_RNA from 1 species